rfam:Papio anubis isolate 1X1155 chromosome 9, whole genome shotgun sequence.
AUUCAGGCUGGUCCUGCAGAGAGGAAGCCCUUCCAAUACCUGGAAGCAGAAGGGCUUCCUCUCUGCAGGACCAGCCUGAAU